rnacentral:lncRNA from 1 species
AUGGCGGCCAGGGUCCCUCCUAGCGUUUGCAGCCUGCCAUUCCACCCAUUGUGCCCAGCUCUGCACUUCAGCUGGAGCUGCUCCUGUGAGCCCAGGGAUUUGGGAAGGGCAAGUGGUUUCUGGGCUGCGAAUUGGUCAGAGAGAACAAAGACACAUGGAAAGGCUGCUUGGGGGGAGGGUGGCUCUGGCUGCCCAGACUUCCCGGCAAAAAGCUGGUUGCCAGUCACUUGUUCAGGGUCCUCCUACUUGUGCCCCCACCUCUACUUCCCCAGCUUACCAUCCUCUUCCCUCUGCUCUUUGCCACAUCUCUCUCUCUCUCUGUCUCUGUCUCUGUCUCUCCCUCUAACUCCUUGUCUCUCUCUCAUUCCCAUUCUCUUCCUCUGUCUGUCUGUCUCUCUCUCUGUCUCUGUCUGUCUGUCUCUGUCUCUGUCUCUCUGUCUGUCUCUGUCUGUCUCUCUGUCACUCUGUCUCUGUCUCUCUGUCUCUGACUGUCUCUCUGUCACUCUGUCUCCCUCUCUCCCUUCCUCUCUGUCUCUGUCUCUCCCUCUAACUCCUUGUCUCUCUCUCACUCCCAUUCUCUUCCUCUCUCUGUCUGUCUGUCUCUGCCUCUGCCCCUCCCCUCUGUCUCUGUCUCUCUCUGUCUCUGUCUCUGUCUGUCUGUCUGUCUGUCUCUGUUUCUCUUUCUAUCUGGUCACUGCUCCUUGCUAGAUUGAGAAUGGGUUACAUCAUGGGAGACAGGCAAUGUCUGGAAAGACAGACGCUUGUGUGGGUGACCCGGAUGUGCCAGGAAGAGGAGGGAGAAGCGUGCCUUCAGCUCAGGGUCCUUCAGGCUUUUGAUCUCAGCCAUAACAACAGCUUUUAUUUCUAUGAGCUCUUUACACUUUAGGGCUAUCCAAGAUGCUGGAGCAAGGAGGGACCUCUGAGGUUAUUGAAUUCAACCUCCUUAGUCUACAGAUGAGCCAAUGGAGAACCAAAGGAGGAAGUGACUUAUCCAAGUUCCCACCUAGUAAUCCAUAGUCUGACUCUGAAUGCAGAACCCUUCCUGUCUGCACCACAAACAUCCCUUUUGCAUGUCACCCCUCUUGGCAAAGUCUUUUCCUCAAGGCAACUCUCUGAGGUAGGCAUUGGAAGGCUCUUGCCUCUAUCUUACAGAUAAGGAAACUGAGGCACAAUGGUAUACAGAUCCUUUCAGAUCACAAAUCUAGCAUUAUCUUCACAUGGUACCUCUCAAAGGUAGGGAUGGUGUAGGGGUAGCCUAGUAGCUUCUCAUAGUUCCUACAUAGAAAGGAAUACUAUGCAGGGGUAUAGAUGGUGCUGGUGGGAAACAAGGUGAUUUGGGGUCAGUGGGGGGAAGUCCUGAAAGAAAUCCUGGAUUUAGACUUAUUAGGGGCUUUGAAGGAGAUCACUUGCUUGAUUUACAUUAUUUAUAUGAUAAGGGAAUAGAAUAGAGAAAUAGGUGACUUGCCCAGGGUCACACGGCUACUGUGACCAAGUCAGGAUUUGAAGGGAGAAGGAUUGGGGCUCUCAAUUAUUCACUUGAAGUAUUUUUGACAAUCCAGCCAGUGUCUACUGGGUGCCCUCCUUUAUCCUCGGCAAGUCUGAAUCCUUCAGAGAGAGACAGAGUCCAGAGAUUUUGAAUUGAAAGUCUGAAAGAAAGUGUUCUCCGUGUGGGCGGGGGAAGUUUCCCCUACCCACAGGAGGCCUUUUC